GAAAUAGACUAAAUAGCCAAGUUGCAAGAUACCACUGCUUCUUAUAAGAAUGAUGGGUUUCCCAGGUGAUACUUGAAAGAAGAGAUAACGACCACCUAUCUCCUUCAUCCUGGUUACACAGGAAGGCUAUGGACUCCUUUUGGCAUUUCUGCCUCAGCAACAGAGGAUAAAAGUCAUGUUGUGAUGGAUAAGUCACAAAAGUAAAAAAUACAGACGUGGACUACAGGCCUCCAAAGAAGAAUUGAGCAUGCUGAGGAUCGAUGCCAGACAUUGGACAUUUUUGAGGUGUUAAGAGAUGUGCAUGCUUCCAACAUUGUGAAGAUGUGUGUGCUUUCCAGUCACCUUCCACCAUGACUGUAAGUUUUCUGAGGCUGCCCAGUCAUGCUUCCUGUUAAGCCUGCAGAACUGGACUGGUAACAUCUGAACAUACCAAACCACACAGUCAAACUCUUGCACCAUCGCUACCACGACAUUUUACUACAAAAGAAUGCCACUGCAUGUGGAUUCCAAGCAGGCUAAAAAGAAAAAGAACUGAUUAGACCUCAGACGACCCACUAAACGGGAUGACGGCCACAGCUGAGGUAGAGACACCAAAAAUGGAGAAGAGUGCCUCCAAGGAAGAGAAGCAGCAGCCUAAGCAGGACAGCACAGAGCAGGGCAAUGCUGAUUCUGAAGAGUGGAUGAGCUCUGAGAGUGAUCCUGAACAGAUAAGCCUUAAGAGUAGCGACAACAGCAAGAGCUGCCAACCUAGGGAUGGUCAGUUGAAGAAAAAGGAGAUGCACUCCAAGCCACACCGCCAGCUCUGUCGAUCACCCUGCCUAGAUCGUCCAAGUUUCUCCCAGAGCAGCAUUUUACAGGAUGGUAAACUUGACUUGGAGAAGGAAUACCAAGCUAAGAUGGAGUUUGCGCUAAAGCUGGGCUAUGCAGAGGAACAGAUUCAAUCAGUGCUAAACAAGCUGGGCCCAGAAUCACUUAUUAAUGAUGUAUUGGCAGAGCUUGUCAGACUUGGGAACAAAGGUGAUUCAGAAGGGCAGAUCAACUUGAGUCUGUUAGUGCCUCGUGGGCCCAGCUCCAGAGAGAUUGCAAGCCCUGAAUUGUCUCUUGAAGAUGAAAUAGAUAACAGUGACAAUUUGAGGCCAGUUGUCAUUGAUGGAAGUAAUGUGGCAAUGAGCCAUGGGAAUAAAGAAGAAUUCUCCUGCAGAGGAAUACAACUUGCUGUGGAUUGGUUUCUAGAUAAAGGCCAUAAAGAUAUUACUGUAUUUGUGCCUGCAUGGAGAAAGGAGCAAUCCCGCCCUGAUGCACCAAUUACAGAUCAAGAUAUUCUACGAAAACUGGAGAAGGAAAAGAUUCUUGUCUUCACACCAUCCCGAAGAGUCCAAGGCAGGAGGGUUGUCUGCUAUGAUGACCGGUUCAUAGUCAAACUGGCUUUUGAUUCUGAUGGCAUCAUUGUGUCCAAUGAUAACUACCGAGACCUUCAAGUUGAAAAGCCAGAAUGGAAGAAGUUUAUAGAGGAGCGGUUGCUGAUGUAUUCUUUUGUGAAUGACAAGUGCGUUUCUUUCCAGUAGGCCUAUAUCCAAGUUAUCAGUAAGAAUAGAUUACAUUUUAAUAAACAUUUACCAAACA
rnacentral:sRNA from 1 species